GACGAACGCUGGCGGCGUGCUUAACACAUGCAAGUCGAACGGAAAGGCCCUGCUUUUGUGGGGUGCUCGAGUGGCGAACGGGUGAGUAACACGUGAGUAACCUGCCCUUGACUUUGGGAUAACUUCAGGAAACUGGGGCUAAUACCGGAUAGGAGCUCCUGCUGCAUGGUGGGGGUUGGAAAGUUUCGGCGGUUGGGGAUGGACUCGCGGCUUAUCAGCUUGUUGGUGGGGUAGUGGCUUACCAAGGCUUUGACGGGUAGCCGGCCUGAGAGGGUGACCGGCCACAAUGGGACUGAGAUACGGCGCAGACUCCUACGGGAGGCAGCAGUGGGGAAUAUUACACAAUGGGCGGAAGCCUGAUGCAGCAACGCCGCGUGCGGGAUGACGGCCUUCGGGUUGUAAACCGCUUUCGCCUGUGACGAAGCGUGAGUGACGGUAAUGGGUAAAGAAGCACCGGCUAACUACGUG
rnacentral:rRNA from 1 species